GGCGUUUGGAGUUAUGGAUACGCUCGAUGUCCUUCAUUAGACGUCGGAAGUUCUCAUCAUUAAAAAUCCCUAGCAUUUCAAAAAUCUUUGAGACCCUUUCCCUUCAUGCAACUCUUCCUCCCCCCAUCUCUAAGGUGUCGUUCAAUGUCGUCUCCUGUCGUUGCCGCUGUUCAAUGACUCGACGCUUCUACUGUCACUCAUCCCAUCAUUCGGAUAUUUGUUGCUCGUUUUGAAAAAUAAAUAGCCGGUUAUUCAGGUUGGCAAAAGGUUAGAGAUUCAGAACUAUCCAAAUUUGGACGUUCAAUAUGUACCUUCUUUUACUCUAGAAAGGUAGUUAACAAUAAUAGUAAUUAGAUCGAAAGAGAUUGAAUGAAUAGAAUAGGGAGCUUUCUAGAAUUUAGUUAUAGCUUGGAGACAUUCUUUGGCUAGUUUGAUAACUAGAUUGGUCACAGAUUUAUAAUGUUUAGAAUGUCUUAUAUUAUCUUCCUAAUUUAUAAUGUUAUUUUCAGUUAAGCAAGUUGCUAUAGGUAAGAAUAGACAUUUCUCUCUGAGUGUUGCCCUUGUUUGUACCUUUGGUAAAUUAUGAUAAUUAAAUGACACAAGAAUUGUCAUUUUGUUUUUCA